UCGAGUCUGACGGACUCGAGAGAUCGCAGAUAGAUUGUGGCUAGUCUGGGUUGUUAUAUGUUUUGGAAACUGCAAAGGCAGCUCGAGUCUAAGACGGAUUCGAAAGACCACAGAUAGAUUGCGGCUAGUCUGGGUUGUUGUAUGUUUUGGACAGUGUCGGUUCUACAUUGAAUUACACCCAGGGCGAGACGCCCUUCGCGCCUUCGCUGUUAUGGUGGCCCAGAGUCCUUGGAUCAUGACUACCUGGCCUGACAACACCAAGCUGACCUUGUCCAAAGCCGCUGUCCACAGCCCACAUGGUGGACCUUGUCUACCUGGUUGAACAGCUCAUCUGGAUUCAGUCUGAAGAAAGGACACAGUUCACCUAUGUUUAUUGAGCUGAUGGUCUUCUGAACAUGCACACAUAUGAAUUUGACUUUAAAGGUAAUCCAAUCUGAUCUCACCAGCAAAAGCAGAAGACAACACCUCAUACUCCGACUACUAUUUGAUUGAUAUUUGAUAUGUCAGCAACGUUAGAUCAGAGGAAUGUGCCCAUAUUGUGUACAAACUUUUACCUUUACAUCUCAUGUGCUAGGGAUAAGUAGUUAUUAGAGGGGGCAGGUAUCAAUGUAAUGUUUUAUGUGAAGCUAUUCAAUAAAUCCAAAGUCACAUUUAUAUUGUACGAAUUAUAAUCACUUUCUUUUAAUAAAGUUUGUUUGCAAUA